AUACGAAGGGGGCUAGCGUUGUUCGGAAUUACUGGGCGUAAAGGGCGCGUAGGCGGUCUGAUAAGUUAGGUGUGAAAUUCCCGGGCUUAACCUGGGGCUGCACUUAAUACUGUUGGGCUUGAAUCCGGGAGAGGAUAGCGGAAUUCCCAGUGUAGAGGUGAAAUUCGUAGAUAUUGGGAAGAACACCAGUGGCGAAGGCGGCUAUCUGGACCGGUAUUGACGCUGAGGCGCGAAAGCGUGGGGAGC
rnacentral:rRNA from 1 species